GAAAUAGAUGAAGAAAAGUGGGAGGAGGUCCCUGAUGAGAAAUGAGUUAGAGGAAAAAAGAACAAGAAAAAAAAAAAAAUGGAGAGGAAGAAAAGGGAGAAGAAUGAGUUAUCAACGAGAAAGAUAGAAGUGGAAAGGGCCAUCGUGAAGGCAAUGGUUUAUUAACGAUUUGGAGGAGGAGAAAAAUGAGAAGGCAAAAUAGAUAAGAAAGAAGGAAAAGAGAUAGAGGAAGCCACCAUAAAAAAAGGAGAAAUGAGUAAGAAGAAAGAAGAGAGGAAAAGAUAUUUUACUGAUGAGAAGAGGUGGAUGUAGAGAGGGGCUAUAUAAAAGGAUGGGACCCGUGAGUUAGCUUAGAAAAAAAGAGGAUAAGGAGAAGAAAGAAGAUGAGGAGGAAGGAAAAGAAGGAAGAAGGGCUACUGGCAAGAAAUGAGAUGGAGGAGGAGGACAAGGAGGAGAAGAAAAUGGAAGAAAGAAGAUGGAGAAGGCAAGAAGAGACGAAGGUGGAGAGGAAUGAUCUACGAGUGGUUUGGAGGAGGAGGAUGAGAAUGAGAAGUGGAUGGGGAUGAAGGGGAGGAGAUGGAGAAAGGAAAGGAGAAAGAAGGGAGAAAAAGGAAAAAGAGAGGAGGAGAGAGGAGAAAUUGGAUAAGAAGGAAGGAGAGAAGGAGAAAGGAGAGGAGAAGGGAGAAGGGAGAAGGGAGAAAGAGGAAUACUGGUGAUGAUGGAGGAGAUCAAUCGGAGAGGAAAAAGGAAAAAGAAAGGAAGAGAAAGAAGAUUAAGAUCCCACUCAGCUGUUUCGGAAUCCGGUUUUGCUAUUGGCGUCCCCUAAUGAGUAACGUGGCCUCUUUCAUCUGGGGGAGCAGGUGGAUCUCAAGAGUCCUACUGGCGGUUGCAGGACUCACGGUUCUCAUCUCGUCCUGCUUCAUCAAGUAGAAGUGAAAGUCUCUUCAGAGUCAUCCGAUAAAGUAAGGGUAAAAGAAACAAUUUUAUUUUUCUAUGGCCAGGGCCCAGAGGGGAUGAACCUGGGCUCCCGACUUGACUUCCAGGUUCAAAGAAUUCAAAGUUGGCGAGGGAGAUGGUAGGUCACCAUUUCGUUUGUUAUAAUAAGACUGCGCUAGACGACCAGUCCGUCCGCAUGGUGGAAAACUGGAGCAAUUGGAGAGCGAGAGCGGGUCUACCUUUACACGCGGUUCAUUGCGCAACAGGGACUGCCUUGCGUUGCGUUGCUGGCGAUGUUGUUUAAUGUACAGUAUUUGAAUGGCGAUGUUGUUUACCAAACAAUUUUUUUUAAAAAAUGUCGAUGUACGUCUCCCUCGUGAUUUUUUUUUAUUAUUAUUAUCGUUUUAUGACGCACAUGCAUGUAUGUACAUCAGCAAAGAUGACCUUUUGAUAUGUACAGCCCACUGGCAACGAUAGCAUGGUCUUUGCACCUCAUAAUGAAACACUGUGAUACCAGCAAUUGUUUGGUA